rnacentral:rRNA from 1 species
GAUGAACGCUGACAGAAUGCUUAACACAUGCAAGUCAACUUGAACUUCGGUUUGGGUGGCGGACGGGUGAGUAACGCGUAAAGAACUUGCCUCACAGAUAGGGACAACAUUUGGAAACGAAUGCUAAUACCUGAUAUUAUGAUUUUAGGGCAUCCUAGGAUUAUGAAAGCUAUAUGCGCUGUGAGAGAGCUUUGCGUCCCAUUAACUAGUUGGAGAGGUAACGGCUCACCAAGGCGAUGAUGGGUAGCCGGCCUGAGAGGGUGAUCGGCCACAAGGGGACUGAGACACGGCCCUUACUCCUACGGGAGGCAGCAGUGGGGAAUAUUGGACAAUGGACCAAGAGUCUGAUCCAGCAAUUCUGUGUGCACGAUGAAGUUUUUCGGAAUGUAAAGUGCUUUCAGUUGGGAAGAAAAAAAUGACGGUACCAACAGAAGAAGUGACGGCUAAAUACGUGCCAGCAGCCGCGGUAAUACGUAUGUCACAAGCGUUAUCCGGAUUUAUUGGGCGUAAAGCGCGUCUAGGUGGUUAUGUAAGUCUGAUGUGAAAAUGCAGGGCUCAACUCUGUAUUGCGUUGGAAACUGUGUAACUAGAGUACUGGAGAGGUAAGCGGAACUACAAGUGUAGAGGUGAAAUUCGUAGAUAUUUGUAGGAAUGCCGAUGGGGAAGCCAGCUUACUGGACAGAUACUGACGCUGAAGCGCGAAAGCGUGGGUAGCAAACAGG